rnacentral:lncRNA from 1 species
GUAGCUCUGAUCAGACCCCUAGCCUGGGAACUUCCAUAUGCCGCAAGUGCAGCCUGGAAAAAGGAAAAAAAAAAAAAAAAAAAAAAGAAAGAAAAAGUGAGUAUUCAGUAAAGCUAAAAAGGCUAUCUCUAAUGCUUUCCCUCUGAAAUAUUGACUUAGAAUAAUUGGCUUCCCCUUUGGACAUAGGCAGUGGUGAAACAUAAUCCACAGUUGAUGUUACUGGGAAUUCAAUAGCACUUAGGACUCAGCUGUAACAUGUUCUGUAAUCAAUAUACACCUAAGUAACUCGUGCUCAUAUAUAACCUCAGAACAACUUCUUCUGUUAGAGUUUGGAGGAUGGGUUCUUCAUUUGGGGAGGUCUAUACUAUGAAAUUGGGAACCUCUUUAUCUCCUAUGGCAGCUCAAAGGGCUUGUUGUUGCAGGCAGCCCUGAACAUGGCAACCCGGGGCAACAUAUUCUGAUGAUGGCCUGGGGCCAGAGUCUGAGAUCUUUGCAGAGAGAAGCGCUCCUGUGGACUUCAGGCAAGGAGUGACCCAUCACCGACAUUCAGUUCGCUGGCCUUGCCUCGGGCUCCGUCACAUGAAAUAGUGGCUUAUCAUGUUUUUCCAUCAUAUGAUGUGGUCAAGAGAGCCCAAGCACUCACCUGCAAAACUCACUCUUCAUUCCGGAUACUUCUGCUCUACCCCUUUCUAGUUCUUGGCACGAAAUGCAAAGUUCCCUUCAGAAAGAAGACCUUGAAAGACAACUUGGCCCUUGGAGGCAGUUCCUGUGAGCCUCACCCUGGCUGAGGCUGAAGUCAGCCCUGCGUUUCCCCGAGUGCCAGGCUGGUCCUGCUCCUGGGGAGAACUCAACCUGCUCCUCUACUCCCUUCCUCCUACCUCUUACCUCCAGGACAGACCCCAAGGAAGCACCAAGAGGGAUCCUUCCCUUUUCUGCCUUAUUUUUUUUGUUUGGUUUUUUUGGUCUUAUUAGGGCCAACCUGUGGCAUAUGGAAAUUCCCAGACUAGGGAUUGAGUCAGAGCUGUAGCCGCUGGCCUACACCACAGCCACAGCAAUGUGGGAUCCGAGCCUCAUCUGUGCCCUAUAUCACAGCUCACAGCAAUGCUGGAUCCUUAACCACUGAGCGAGGCCAGGGAUCGAACCUGCAUCCUCGUGGACACCAGUCAGGUUCAUUACCGCUGAGCCACAAGGGGAGCUUCCCCUGGCUUCUUUCUUUACACUGCUCAGAACUUCAGAAGAGAU